UAAUAACAAUACAUACCUACUGUCUAGUAAUAAAACAGAAAUAAAACCAAAAUUGUAUUUUAUCUUUCUCAUUGAUAAAAACCACUUUAAAAGGUCCAUUAAAUAUCUAAACCUCGCUCCCUAUUGAACACGUGCCUGGGUAGUUACUCGUCACGAUCGUGUUCGAUCGAUACAAUUACGAGUGAGGCGCGCGAAGUUCCGACGAUAGGCGUGCGUAGAAUUCUUUUGCGAGAUGUGCGAAAUAGAUUUAGUAGGUGUAGUCUUUAGAGUGGAGGAGUACUCGAGCCUCUAACCCCUAACCAAAUUUUAACGUGUCCCGCUUAAUAUUUGUCAGUAAUCGGUAACAAUAUAGGGCACGGAGACGCUCAACAGCAAAUAUAAAAAAUAGUGCUUUAUAGAUUUCCAACGUCU